GGGGGUGAAUUUUGGUUUCGACGGGGUUGAAGAGGCAUUGAACUGCGCACCGUGUUCCCCGAAGACACGUUAAAAAAUUGGGAAUAAAACAAUAACUGGCGAAUCUAAUUACGCCUUAGCUGCUUAAUUUAAGUAUUAACAGCCGUUCACCAUAUCCUCUCCUACCGGGCUAUGACUGAACGUUGAUUAGGUAUGAUAGCUGAUUCUGUUGCCUGUGCAGAUGAUGCGAAACUUAAGCAGGUAAGCUUAAUACGAUCCCUGUCUGUUGGGCAGUAUUAAGUUAAAACAAUUAACAGACUAUGUGUGUAGACGUUUCUUGUAUCUUAACUUCGGACGCGGGUUCGACUCCCGCCACCUCCACUA
rnacentral:tmRNA from 1 species